CACGUAUUUAGCCGGAGCUUCUUUUUCAGGUACCGUCACUUUCUUCCCUGCUGAUAGAGCUUUACAUAACGAAUUACUUCUUCACUCACGCGGCGUCGCUGCAUCAGAGUUCCCUCCAUUGUGCAAUAUUCCCCACUGCUGCCUCCCGUAGGAGUCUGGGCCGUGUCUCAGUCCCAAUGUGGCCGUCCACCUCUCAGGCCGGCUACUGAUCGUUGCCUUGGUGUGCUUUUACCACUCCAACUAGCUAAUCAGACGCGGGUCCAUCUCAUACCAGAUUUCUCCUUUUCACACAAAAACAUGCGUCCUCGUGCGCUUAUGCGGUUUUACCACCAGUUUCCCGAUGCUAUCCCCCUGUAUGAGGCAGGUUGCCCACGCGUUACUCACCCGUCCGCCACUAAGAUACUUCUCUUUCACCUCGAAAAGCUUCCAAGCAAUAUCUCCGUUCGACUUGCAUGUGUUAGGCACGCCGCCAGCGUUCAUCCUGACGCCAGGUAA
rnacentral:rRNA from 1 species